rnacentral:rRNA from 1 species
CCCUUAGAUGUUCUGGGCUGCACGCGUGUUACAAUCGGGAGUACAACAAGAUUGCAAAUCCUAGUGGAUGAGUGGUUCUUCGAAAUUUUCUGAAGACUGGGAUAGUUGAUUGAAAUUAUUCAACUCGAACGAGGAAUUCCUUGUAAUUGUAAUUCAUUAUACGUCCCUGCCCUUUGUACACACCGCCCGCCGCUCCUACCGAUCGAACGAUCCGGUGAAUUAUUUGGAGUAGCUCUGGAAGUUGCAGAACUUCCUAUGUCACGAAAUUUUGUAAACCUUAUCGUUUAAAAGAAGGAAAAGUCGUAACA